CUGGCUCAGAAUGAACGCUGGCGGCGUGCCUAACACAUGCAAGUCGCACGAGAAAGGCUGGGUUUCGGCUUGGCCGAGUAAAGUGGCGCACGGGUGAGUAACGCGUGGGUGACCUACCCUCGAAUCUGGGAUAACCUCGCGAAAGCGGGGCUAAUACCGGAUACGUCCCUUCGGGGAGAAAGCCGGCCUCUCGAAGAAGCUGGUGUUCGGGGAUGGGCCCGCGUCCUAUCAGCUAGUUGGUAGGGUAACGGCCUACCAAGGCGACGACGGGUAGCUGGUCUGAGAGGAUGAUCAGCCACACUGGCACUGGAACACGGGCCAGACUCCUACGGGAGGCAGCAGUGAGGAAUUUUGCGCAAUGGGAGCAAUCCUGACGCAGCAACGCCGCGUGGGUGAAGAAGGCCUUCGGGUCGUAAAGCCCUGUCAGGAGGGAAGAACCUCGCUGGGGCGAAUAGCCUUGGCGACUGACGGUACCUCCAGAGGAAGCACCGGCUAACUCCGUGCCAGCAGCCGCGGUAAUACGGAGGGUGCGAGCGUUAUUCGGAAUUACUGGGCGUAAAGCGCGUGUAGGCGGCAGGGCAAGUCUGGUGUGAAAGCCCGGGGCUCAACCCCGGAAGUGCAUUGGAAACUGCUCUGCUUGAGUACCGGAGAGGAAGGGGGAAUUCCCGGUGUAGCGGUGAAAUGCGUAGAUAUCGGG
rnacentral:rRNA from 1 species